AGAGUUUGAUCAUGGCUCAGAUUGAACGCUGGCGGCGUGCCUAACACAUGCAAGUCGAGCGGUAACAGGUGUAGCAAUACAUGCUGACGAGCGGCGAACGGGUGAGUAAUGCUUCGGAAUCUUCCCAUGUAGUGGGGAAUAACUAGCCGAAAGGUUAGCUAAUACCGCAUACGUCCUACGGGAGAAAGCAGGGGAUCGCAAGACCUUGCGCUAUUGGAUGAGCCGAAGUCGGAUUAGCUAGUUGGUAGGGUAACGGCCUACCAAGGCGACAAUCCGUAGCUGGUCUGAGAGGACGACCAGCCACACUGGGACUGAGACACGGCCCAGACUCCUACGGGAGGCAGCAGUGGGGAAUAUUGGACAAUGGGGGAAACCCUGAUCCAGCGACGCCGCGUGUGUGAAGAAGGCCUGCGGGUUGUAAAGCACUUUUAGUGGGGAUGAAAAGCCAACGGUUAAUACCUGUUGGUCUUGACCUAACCCACAGAAAAAGCACCGGCUAACUCUGUGCCAGCAGCCGCGGUAAUACAGAGGGUGCAAGCGUUAAUCGGAAUUACUGGGCGUAAAGCGUGCGUAGACGGUUAUUUAAGUCAGGUGUGAAAGCCCCGGGCUCAACCUGGGAAUUGCAUUUGAGACUGAAUAGCUAGGGUGCGGAAGAGGGAAGCGGAAUUUCCGGUGUAGCGGUGAAAUGCGUAGAUAUCGGAAGGAACACCAGUGGCGAAAGCGGCUUCCUGGUCCAGCACCGACGUUCAGGCACGAAAGCGUGGGGAGCAAACAGGAUUAGAUACCCUAGUAGUCC
rnacentral:rRNA from 1 species